AGUCGGGCCCUGCAAGAGUUUCCUGAGCACUUCCGGUGUGCCAGGCACAGCGCUAGGCAUAGAGGACACAGCAGGGACCCCUUUACUUGCAUUCGGGGAGACAGGUGGUAAACAAGAGUGCACAGGAGCCAACCCAUGGGGAUUAAGAAGGAAGCUGUCCUUCAGCACUUUGUGUGGAAAAUGAGAAAACACGGUGUGGAGAUGGUCUUUGCUGCGCUGUGACCGGAAGGCCAGGGUGCUGUCCACCUUCUGCAUCCCACCUGGACAGAGGCAGGAACUCCAGGGCCCAGGUGUGGUGCGUGACCUCCUCACGGUCCUGAGCCUGGGGCCCCACCCUGCUGACUCUCAGCCAAGACUUUUCCACUGCCCUCUAUGGAGGCAGGGUAAAGUCCAGAGUCCUCAACGUGCCUACAAGAACACUGGAAUCUAACCCUGCACGCUCUCCCAGCCCCAACUCUCCGCCCCCC